CCUACGGGAGGCAGCAGUGAGGAAUAUUGGUCAAUGGGCGGGAGCCUGAACCAGCCAAGCCGCGUGAGGGAAGAAGGUACAGCGUAUCGUAACCCUCUUUUGUCAGGGACCAAAGGCGGGGACUAGUCCCCGGAUGAGGGUACCUGAAGAAAAAGCAUCGGCUAACUCCGUGCCAGCAGCCGCGGUAAUACGGAGGAUGCGAGCGUUUUCCGGAUUUAUUGGGUUUAAAGGGUGCGCAGGCGGCCUGUUAAGUCAGCGGGAAAAGCCCGGGGCUCAACCCCGGCGAGCCGUUGAAACUGGCGGGCUGGAGUUGGAGAGAAGUACGCGGAAUGCGCGGUGUAGCGGUGAAAUGCUUAGAUAUCGCGCAGAACCCCGAUUGCGAAGGCAGCGUACCGGCUCCACACUGACGCUGAGGCACGAAAGCGUGGGUAUCGAACAGGAUUAGAUACCCUUGUAGUC
rnacentral:rRNA from 1 species